CCCGCUGAACUUAAGCAUAUCAAUAAGCGGAGGAAAAGAAACUAACAAGGAUUCCCCUAGUAACUGCGAGUGAAGCGGGAAAAGCUCAAAUUUAAAAUCUGGCGGUCUCGCGGCCGUCCGAGUUGUAAUCUGGAGAAGCGUCUAUCCGCGUCGGACCGUGUACAAGUCUUCUGGAAGGGAGCGUCGUAGAGGGUGAGAAUCCCGUCUUUGACACGGACAACCGAUGCUUUUGCGAUGCGCUCUCGAAGAGUCGAGUUGUGUGGGAAUGCAGCUCAAAAUGGGUGGUAAAUUCCAUCUAAAGCUAAAUAUUGGCGAGAGACCGAUAGCGAACAAGUACCGUGAGGGAAAGAUGAAAAGCACUUUGGAAAGAGAGUUAAACAGUACGUGAAAUUGUUGAAAGGGAAACGUUUGAAGUCAGUCGCGUCGGCCGAGACUCAACCUUGCUCUUCGCUCGGUGCACUUCUCGGUUGACGGGUCAGCAUCAAUUUCGACCGCCGGACAAAGGUCAGGGGAAUGUGGCAUCCUUCGGGAUGUGUUAUAGCCCUUGAUUCGCAUACGGCGAUUGGGAUUGAGGAACUCGGCGCUUCACGCGUCCAGGAUGCUGGCGUAAUGGCUUUAAGCGACCCGUCUUGAAACACGG
rnacentral:rRNA from 1 species